rnacentral:tRNA from 1 species
ACACUGGUGGUUCAGUGGUAGAAUUCUCGCUUUCCACACAGGAAUUCAGGUUCAAUUCCCGGCCAGUGCG